UCAAACCCAGGUCUUCUGUAUUGCAAGCAGACUCUUUACUGUCUGAGCUACUGGGGAAGCCCUGUACCGGAGUGACUUAAUAAACUCUUCACGUAAGCCCCAGGAGAAAUGCACUGUGAUUAUUUGCAGCUCACAGAAGAGAGAAGUAAGGCUUAGAAAAGGAUUGGCAGAUUGCUGAUAUGUUGGCCAGAGGAAUGUGGAGUGAAAAUCUCUGGAAUGUUCUAGCAACUUUUAAAAUUUAUUGCCAGGAAAUGGGUGCUGCUUGUCUUCUCUGCAUCUUUUUAAAAGAUCUCUUGUGAAUCCAGUCAACUCCCAUCCAGGCUCUGAGGCCCGACAGACAGAGCCAACAGAGGGAAGGGCCUUCAGCGCAGGAGGUGCCGUGGUCAUCUGUGCAACGCCUUCCUGACAAGUGUGCAGGAAGCUCAGGCUUUUUGAGAUUUUGAGAAGCAUAUGUAGCUGAGAUGAAGUGAGCCAACGUUUUGGUCCAGGAAGAAAAGCAGAAAAGAAGAAGCUCUUGGUGAUCCUGAAUAUUAAGUCUUUUCUUUGGAGUCAGUUGUAAUUUUUAUGUCAGUUCUUGUUAUAGUAAUAGCAGACACAUACAUAAUGAAGCUUUAUUAAAGGUGGACGAGUCCCUGAGAGAAUCACCAGUGGUAAGAAGAAUAAAAAAUGUUUCACCAAAACAGCUUUUAAAAUCUCCAACAUUUAAAUUCUUCUACUCUCUCAAAAUUCAGCUUCCCCUAGAAGAAGGCCUCCUAUUUAAAUUUUUUCUUAAUAAUGUGAAAUAUCAAAUCACUUUUACUUUAACUUUUUUUUUCAUUUUAAAAUGGACUAAACCUCAUCCUUCAUAUGUUUUCACAGUUAAGAGACUUAUGAAUAUGUCGGGAAAAUGUAAUUUUGGUUAUGCUUCCUUCAGAAUUUGCUAAUGUGAAAAAAGUAUUUUUUAAAAAGAUAUGAUUUAAUGAGAGCUCUUUUUCUUUUUUUUUUUUUUUUCAGUUCCUCAGAAGAUCAAAGCAAAAUGGAAUAGAAUACCAUUCUUCCCCAACUUGGUUAGGUGUUAAAUAGUGCUCUUUGCUACCUUCUUUCUUACUCUUCAGCACAAGGGUACUAU